rnacentral:lncRNA from 1 species
GUCAACCGAACUUUGAUGUCAACUGAAAUUUUGUAUCCAUCGGUAUUGCGUAUGACAUUGUAGCUAUAACCCGCACGAGUGCCUAUCGGCGGACCACUUGACACCUCUACUUUUUUAUCGACAUUAUGCGACAAAGUUAUGCACACCUAUGAUACGUAAAAACUAAUUGGAUGAAUUGGCCAUCUUCGUUUGGCGGGUUAACUACGCGUUAAAAACUAGAUAAUAACUUUGUGGACUGGGAACCAUAAUAUUAUUAUUAACUUACAAUUGUGUAGUUUGUUAUAAAUACGAUAAGUGUUUGUGCUCGUGUGGUUAAAUUCUUUUUAAGUUACGAUUUAUUUACACUCGAGAUGUUUGAUGGAAGAAAAUACUCCCAAGGACAGACUUGCUACUUGUUUCUAGAAUUUGUGGAGGCCCAAAGCUUUGGAUCGCUUUUCAAUGGGCCACUAAUCUAGUCAAUAUACUAGACAAACUUGGGAAUCAAUCGCUGUUAAGUUUAAUGGAGUAGAAGAUAACGUCUUAAGAACCUUAGGCCAAUGAAAGUGUCGAGUUGAAGGAGAAGCCUUGAUUUGAGCCUGUCUCGAUAUUGAGGAGUAAAUGGCUGCCUUGAAAAGGAUUGCUGUGGACCGAUGGUCAUGGAAAGAGCUAGUGCACUAAUAAUAUAAUUGAUAACAACAAUACACCUCAAAAAAAAUUAAUAGAUUAUAGAUAGUGGUUCUAUAUGUUAGCUUAGUUGUAUAUAGCAUUAUAAUUUUGCUCUAAUGUG